GGGUUGUGAGGUUAAGCGACUAAGCGUACACGGUGGAUGCCCUGGCAGUCAGAGGCGAUGAAGGACGUGCUAAUCUGCGAUAAGCGCCGGUAAGGUGAUAUGAACCGUUAUAACCGGCGAUUUCCGAAUGGGGAAACCCAGUGUGAUUCGUCACACUAUCAUUAACUGAAUCCAUAGGUUAAUGAGGCGAACCGGGGGAACUGAAACAUCUAAGUACCCCGAGGAAAAGAAAUCAACCGAGAUUCCCCCAGUAGCGGCGAGCGAACGGGGAGGAGCCCAGAGCCUGAAUCAGCAUGUGUGUUAGUGGAAGCGUCUGGAAAGGCGCGCGAUACAGGGUGACAGCCC
rnacentral:rRNA from 1 species